GAUGAAGAACGUAGUGAAAUGCGAUAAGUAAUGUGAAUUGUAGAAUUCAGUGAAUCAUCGAAUCUUUGAACGCACAUUGCGCCCGCCAGUAUUCUGGCGGGCAUGCCUGUUCGAGCGUCAUUACAACCCUCAGGCCCCCGGGCCUGGCGUUGGGGAUCGGCGGAAGCCCCCUGCGGGCACAACGCCGUCCCCCAAAUACAGUGGCGGUCCCGCCGCAGCUUCCAUUGCGUAGUAGCUAACACCUCGCAACUGGAGAGCGGCGCGGCCACGCCGUAAAACACCCAACUUCUGAAUGUUGACCUCGAAUCAGGUAGGAAUACCCGCUGAACUUAAGCAUAUCAAUAAGCGGAGGA
rnacentral:misc_RNA from 1 species